UAAAGAGUCAGCUCCUGAGAAAAAUUAUUUUCCCCUUGCUCCAGAGUUUUCUGCUAUGUUCACUGAUAUGUGCACCAGAGGAGAGAAAUGUUGAAGCGAACAUCCCAUCACCAUUUUAUGCAAGCCAGUGAAAUGCUGUCAGCCUGGUUUUGGAGGAUCAUGGGACUGGAACUUUGUGAGUACUGUUUCUGGGUGCACCACUGC
rnacentral:lncRNA from 1 species